UACGUAGGUGGCAAGCGUUGUCCGGAAUUACUGGGCGUAAAGGGCGUGUAGGCGGUCUGAUAAGUCAGACGUGAAAUCUCUGGGCUUAACCUGGAGGCUGCGUUUGAAACUGUCGGACUUGAGGACCGGAGAGGGCAGUGGAAUUCCCAGUGUAGCGGUGAAAUGCGUAGAUAUUGGGAGGAACACCAGUGGCGAAGGCGACUGCCUGGACGGCACCUGACGCUGAGGCGCGAAAGCUAGGGGAGCAAACGGG
rnacentral:rRNA from 1 species